rnacentral:ncRNA from 1 species
ACCAAGGAGUCUAACAUGUGCGCGAGCCGCGGGGCAGUACGAAACCCGUAAGGCGAAAUGAAGGUGAACGCCGGCGCGGUCCGGCGGAGGUUGGAUCCCGUCCCGUCGGGGCGGGCGCACUACCGGCCGAUCUUCUCCGCCCUGUCGGCGAGGUCGAGCGAGAGCGUGCAAGUCGGGACCCGAAAGAUGGUGAACUAUGCCUGAGGAGGUUGAAGCCAGAGGAAACUCUGGUGGAGGACCGUAGCGAUUCUGACGUGCAAAUCGAUCGUCAAAUUUGGGUAUAGGGGCGAAAGACUAA